UACAGAGGUGGCAAGCGUUGUUCGGAAUUACUGGGCGUAAAGGGCGCGUAGGCGGCCUACUAAGUCAGACGUGAAAUCCCCCGGCUUAACCUGGGAACUGCGUCUGAUACUGGAAGGCUUGAGGAUGGGAGAGGGAUGUAGAAUUCCAGGUGUAGCGGUGAAAUGCGUAGAUAUCUGGAGGAAUACCGGUGGCGAAGGCGGCAUCCUGGACCAUUACUGACGCUGAGGCACGAAAGCGUGGGGAGCAAACAGG
rnacentral:rRNA from 1 species